rnacentral:rRNA from 1 species
GAGAACUGUGGGGCAGAGGCUGGAGUAAGUGAGAUGUCUCAAGCUGUGGUCGGGAUCAGUGGGCGGAAAAGGUGCGUAGGUGUGGUGGUAAGUCAGAUGUUAAAGCCCGGGUCUCAACCGCGGAAUUGCAUCCGCUACUGCCAUGCUAGAGUACUGAAGAGGUGACUAGAAUUCUCGGUGGAGCAGUGAAAUGCGUAGAUAUCGAGAGGAAUACCAACGGCGAAGGCAGGUCACUGGGCAGUUACUGACACUGAGGCACGAAGGCCAGGGGAGCAAACGGGAUUAGAUACCCGUGUAGUC